GUUGACGUUUUGGUUCGGAACCCUUCUUCAGAAAAACUGGUUUUGUUUUCAUUGACAUGCAGGAUGUUGAGGGCCGAACUGAUAGAAGUUUAUAAAAUUGUGAAUUGCAUGAGUAGUGUGGAAAAUAUGAAGCUUUUUUCCAGGGUGGAGGGGUCACUUACUAGGGGACACAGGUUCAAGGUUUGGUGAGGGGAAUAUUAAAAAGAGAUGUGUGAGGUCACCUUUUCACACAAACAGUGGUGAGCUCCUAGAACUUGUUGCCAGAGAAGGUGGCAGAAGCAGAUUGAUAGCAGCAUUCAAGAAGCACUUGGAUGAAUAUAUGAUGAGCAAGGGAAUAGAGGGAUACACAUCUUUCUCCAAAUUCAUUUAUUGAAGAAUCUCUGGAGGUGAACGAUGAAGCAAAUAGUGAGCAAGUGGAAUCUGAGGAAAACAGAGAUGUGGGUUCCAGUGUGAGUGGUGACGUUCAACCAGAGGAUGAUGUUUUGUUUAUUUGUGCAGCCUAAAGCUGCUGCCUGGAGCCUAGAUUUUGGGGUCUCUCCUGGUGAGUGACGUGGAACUGGAGCUCCUGUUGCUGUUGGUGCACCUCUAUCUUCAGGUACAAUCUGAUUGAGCUGGGAGCCGGCCACUUCUGUCACAUGAAGAUCACAGCAGCCAGGUGCCUUGAUUGACUGGGGAUUACCUAUGAACUGUGAAGCAGUGCUGCCUGCAGAACUAGGGAUUGGGAGGCUGUU